GAUGAACGCUGGCGGCGUGCUUAACACAUGCAAGUCGAGCGGGCAAUUUAUCUAGCACUGAUUACUUCAAAUGGAAAUCAUAAGUGUAAUCAUGAAUUUCUACCUUUAAUAAAGAAAAAAGAAAUUCAUGUACGCAAAUAGUGAUAACACAUUUUAGUGGAGUGAUGAGUGCUGGAUAAAUUGCUAGCGGCGGACGGGUGCGUAACACGUGGGUAACCUGCCCCUAUCACUGGGAUAACACACUGAAAAGUGUGCUAAUACCAGAUAACAUAAGCUUUUGGCAUCAUUAGCUUAUCAAAGAAUUUCGGAUAGGGAUGGGCCCGCGUCUGAUUAGCUAGUUGGUGAGGUAACGGCUCACCAAGGCAACGAUCAGUAGCCGACCUGAGAGGAUGGUCAGCCACACUGGGACUGAGACACUGCCCAGACUCCUACGGGAGGCUGCAGUCGAGAAUCUUGGGCAAUGGGGAAACCCUGACCG
rnacentral:rRNA from 1 species